rnacentral:rRNA from 1 species
GCGGCGGACGGGUGAGUAAUGUCUGGGAAACUGCCUGAUGGAGGGGGAUAACUACUGGAAACGGUAGCUAAUACCGCAUAACGUCGCAAGACCAAAGAGGGGGACCUUCGGGCCUCUUGCCAUCAGAUGUGCCCAGAUGGGAUUAGCUAGUAGGUGGGGUAACGGCUCACCUAGGCGACGAUCCCUAGCUGGUCUGAGAGGAUGACCAGCCACACUGGAACUGAGACACGGUCCAGACUCCUACGGGAGGCAGCAGUGGGGAAUAUUGCACAAUGGGCGCAAGCCUGAUGCAGCCAUGCCGCGUGUAUGAAGAAGGCCUUCGGGUUGUAAAGUACUUUCAGCGGGGAGGAAGGCGUUGAGGUUAAUAACCUCAGCGAUUGACGUUACCCGCAGAAGAAGCACCGGCUAACUCCGUGCCAGCAGCCGCGGUAAUACGGAGGGUGCAAGCGUUAAUCGGAAUUACUGGGCGUAAAGCGCACGCAGGCGGUCUGUCAAGUCGGAUGUGAAAUCCCCGGGCUCAACCUGGGAACUGCAUUCGAAACUGGCAGGCUAGAGUCUUGUAGAGGGGGGUAGAAUUCCAGGUGUAGCGGUGAAAUGCGUAGAGAUCUGGAGGAAUACCGGUGGCGAAGGCGGCCCCCUGGACAAAGACUGACGCUCAGGUGC